rnacentral:rRNA from 1 species
AACGAACGCUGGCGGCAUGCCUAACACAUGCAAGUCGAACGAGACCUUCGGGUCUAGUGGCGCACGGGUGCGUAACGCGUGGGAACCUGCCCUUAGGUUCGGAAUAACUCCCCGAAAGGGGUGCUAAUACCGGAUAAUGUCUUCGGACCAAAGAUUUAUCGCCUUUGGAUGGGCCCGCGUUGGAUUAGCUAGUUGGUAGGGUAAAAGCCUACCAAGGCGACGAUCCAUAGCUGGUCUGAGAGGAUGAUCAGCCACACUGGGACUGAGACACGGCCCAGACCCCUACGGGAGGCAGGAGUGGGGAAUAUUUGAAAAUGGGCGAAAGCCUGAUCCAGCAAUGCCGCGUGAGUGAUGAAGGCCUUAGGGUUGUAAAGCUCUUUUACCCGGGAUGAUAAUGACAGUACCGGGAGAAUAAGCUCCGGCUAACUCCGUG